rnacentral:rRNA from 1 species
UCUAUACUAUAGAGUUUGAUCUGNGUCAGGACGAACGCUGGCGGCGUGCUUAACACAUGCAAGUCGAACGGUGAAGCCCUUCGGGUGGAUCAGUGGCGAACGGGUGAGUAACACGUGGGUAAUCUGCCCUGCAUUCUGGGACAAGCCUUGGAAACGAGGUCUAAUACCGGAUACGACGCAUCUCCGCAUGGAGUGUGCGUGGAAAGCUCCGGCGAUGCAGGAUGAACCCGCGGCCUAUCAGCUUGUUGGUGGGGUAACGGCCUACCAAGGCGACGACGGGUAGCCGGCCUGAGAGGGCGACCGGCCACACUGGGACUGAGACACGGCCCAGACUCCUACGGGAGGCAGCAGUGGGGAAUAUUGCACAAUGGGCGAAACCUGAUGCAGCGACGCCGCGUG